CCCCUAGUAGCUCAGCCAGUAAAGCAUCUGCCUGCAAUGCAGGAGACCCAGCUUCAAUCCCUGGCUCGGAAA
rnacentral:tRNA from 1 species